UAAGAGGCUUUUAUAAAAGCCAUGUUUUGAUACCUCAAAUUGUACU
rfam:Physcomitrella patens subsp. patens PHYPAscaffold_134 genomic scaffold, whole genome shotgun sequence.